UAUAUCAGUUACAAAAUGCAUUGAUUUGAAUCAGACGUACUUUCUGAGUUGCUCCAAAUAGACAAUGCAAAGCCAUAUCUUUCAGAUUGCAAAUUAUCUCUUUAAAAUGCAGUUCUGCUGUUCUCCUGAGUUUGUGUGUAUUUACAGGUCUGAACACAUGGAAUGGUUACAUGUCUCACAUCACAUUUUAAAUUUAAUGUGUAUUUAAUAUUACAUCCUAAAAUUCUCAUGUUGCCUAAGUUCUGAAGAACCUUAUAAGCCAUGAAAAUCAGAAAUAUCCUAAAAUGCAUAUGUAUUUCAUGGCAUUCCAUUUGUUAACCAGAUGAGUGAACUGGUCCUCUGACCCUUUUCAGUCAUGACAUGGACUCUGAGAGCAGCAUGCAUGCAAUUCAUAUACUAUAAUGCAUAUUUUGCAUUAUAAGAAUAACAUAAAAAUAGAAUUGUAACAGUUGUAAUGUACCAUUAAUACAGUGGUUGAAGAAACUUAGUGUUUGUAAAAUGCUAACAGUUAAGAAAAUUAUGCAGCAGGUAAAAUUCACUAAUAUUUAUACAAUAUUUACAAAUGGGUGAAGAUCCACAGUUCAGUGUACAGAACAUGCAGCUAAUAUAACAGAUGUCAGAUAAGGAUAGCUAGUUAAAUUGUAGCCAGUCUCACAAAAGCAAAUACAAAUGGCUUCCUUUUGCAGAUGUUCUUUUAAUGCAGUUUUGAAACUUCCACAAGUUUGUUGAUUGUUUUACAUAAUUUGAAGUGUGUUCCAGGUGUGAAGGCUCAUUCUACAGAAGGAUCUUUCUCCUAUCACUGCUUCGAAAACAGAAUGAACUAGGUCCACCAAAACCGUGUCUGAGAAUUCUGUAGUAGAAAUGAAGAUGGGCGGAUAUUAAUCAGUGGAGUCAUGCAGCUCCCCCUCCAUUUGGACCAUCCAUAUUCUUUUGGUGUCUGGUGAUUAAUCUGUUAAUGAAAAAAAAUACAGUACAGCACACUUGUUUUCCAAGUUUCCCACUUCUACCCAGAAAUGAAUAUCUGCAUCACAAAGUAAGACUUUCCUGGUCUGGGGUUUUUGUUUGGGCAGAAGCGCUUCCUAGAUAAUAUAAAAUUAGUUCCUUCAACAUGUCAUCAUUACACCACAAUGCAUACUCUGUAAAACAUGGUGCUUAAUAUAGCAACUGCAAUGUGUUUUUUUCUUAAACAUUUGUAUCAUUACAUUGUUUUUAUGUUGAUGUAAAUAAAAUUCAGAUGUAGCAUA